CUUAUUUUAGAGUAAAACAAGGUUCAGACAACACAGUGCAGGCAUGUGGAGGGAGAGGAAAAGAGAUCACACCUUACUGGUGCAAGAAGGGGCAGUGUGCAAGUCAGCUCUGGGUGGGUAGCUGCCUUUUCAAUAGAUGGAGAAGGGAGGGAAGGGCUUCGCAGGCUGGAAGCACAGCACUGAGGGUGUGGCGAGCUCCAGCAAGGGUGAGCAGCCACGGGGGCGGCCGUGGUGCUGGCAGAUGAACCAUGCCAAUAUGGAGGGAGCGAGGGACAGAUUUUAAUAAGCCACGGUGAGGACGGUGGAUUCUGCUCGCAGGCAAAGGAUAGUGACUGAAGCUUCUGGAACAGUGACAUGUACCUGACAUCUAGUUUUGACAAGAGAGUGCUGGCCCUGAUGGCCAGCCAGGGUUUGCCCCGUGGCUCGAGGUUACCGGUACUUUGUGUACUUUUCCCCCAAGGCUGUAGGAGAAAUAAGAACUCUAGCCAGAUUUGCUGGGCUCUUCUCUCUGUAGCCUAGUGCUCUGGGGACCUAUCUGGCUUAGAGGCGGGUUUGUCUUUGGAGUGCUUUCUUGAGAAAGGAGUGCUCUCUGCAAACCCUCUCUCCCUUCCCUCUCUUCACCCUGGAGAUUGUCUUUACAUUCAGCUUGAGACUGCGCUGAAAGAUCCUUGGUACCUCUGUGGUCUCUUGAGUGGACUGCCCGACCCAGUGGGCAAGGAGCCCCCACGUCUGGCAGACCAAGCCAGCCCAUUCCUCACAUGUCAUGGAUUUUCCUGGAGGGAAACAGCGGAUGCCACAUGGUCAUGGCUUGAAAGGAUUCCAUGCUGUCUGCACAAAUAGAGACUGGAGCCUCUGGGAACAGCCUUGCUCUCACCUCACUCCCAGAAAGCCUCCCUGCCCUGGCCCGUGCAAACAGGCAGUGAAUUGUUGCUCUCACUUCUACACACUGAUACAGCCCUGAGUGACACGGACAAGAGGAUUCUUGGGAGGGGCCUGACUGAACUGCAGCCACCUAGGCAUUACCAGUGUGGUUGAGAAGACGAAAUGAAGACUGGAGAAGCAAUGGGACACACAGGCAAUGGGGCUAGGCAUUGGUUGUCCCCAUUCAUUCAUGCAGCAAAUGGCCAUUGCGUCCCCUUCCUGUGCUAAACCUGUGCAGAUUGUUGUCCAAAGAAAGUCCUAUGCCAGACCCAAAGCCCAGGGCAGGGCAGUACACGCUGCCCACCAGCAGGCCAUGGCAAAGGUGUUUAUGCACAUCACUGUGGGAGACUGAAGAACGGGUACCAGGGAUCAAUCGGCCACCAUGUAAAGUCUGAGAGAAAGAUGCCCCAGCUAUUCUUAAGACUUUCA
rnacentral:lncRNA from 1 species